rnacentral:rRNA from 1 species
AGAGUUUGAUCCUGGCUCAGGACGAACUCUGGCGGCGUGCCUAACACAUGCAAGUCGAACGGAGUUGAAAGGAGCUUGCUUUUUUCAACUCAGUGGCGGACGGGUGAGUAACGCGUGAGUAACCUGCCUUUCAGAGGGGGAUAACGUUCUGAAAAGAACGCUAAUACCGCAUAAGAUUGUAGUUUCGCAUGGAGCAGCAAUCAAAGGAGCAAUCCGCUGAAAGAUGGACUCGCGUCCGAUUAGAUAGUUGGCGGGGUAACGGCCACCAAGUCGACGAUCGGUAGCCGGACUGAGAGGUUGAUCGGCCACAUUGGGACUGAGACACGGCCCAGACUCCUACGGGAGGCAGCAGUGAGGGAUAUUGGGCAAUGGGGGAAACCCUGACCCAGCAACGCCGCGUGAGGGAUGACGGUUUUCGGAUUGUAAACCUCUGUCCUCUGUGAAGAUAGUGACGGUAGCAGAGGAGGAAGCUCCGGCUAACUACGUGCCAGCAGCCGCGGUAAUACGUAGGGAGCAAGCGUUGUCCGGACUUACUGGGUGUAAAGGGUGCGUAGGCGGAUUGGCAAGUCAGAAGUGAAAUCCAUGGGCUUAACCCAUGAACUGCUUUUGAAACUGUUAGUCUUGAGUGGAGUAGAGGUAGGCGGAAUUCCCGGUGUAGCGGUGAAAUGCGUAGAGAUCGGGAGGAACACCAGUGGCGAAGGCGGCCUACUGGGCUUUAACUGACGCUGAGGCACGAAAGUGUGGGUAGCAAACAGGAUUAGAUACCUUGGUAGUCCACACUGUAAACGAUGAU